GAUUGAAACCACCCUUUGUACUCACACCCUUCACAGGGAACAGUUUAGUGACGUGGUGGAGACAGAAGCUGCCUGCAGCUGAUUUGAAAGAGAAUACGAAAUGAGGACUCUGGGACAGAGAAGAAAAUACUCUCAGGAGAACGAGAGAUGAAGAAAUAGAGCUACGGAAGGAUGAGCAUGUAAAGGAAGAAUUGUUUUCCCAGGAUGGGAGAUAUUACACCAUACUUGUAAGAAAGACAGACGGAUGGGACAGAUGGAGAGUGUGACGGACAGAGUGUCUGGGAGAGCAAACACAGCAGUCUGGAACCACUGAACACACAUCAGCCAACAUGGGAAGCAGACAUCUGGCCCAGGAGAGGAAUCAAAACAGGAAGUAAAGAAUCCUGGCAAACACCGCCUUAGCCAGGUGAUGAAGGUCAACCUCAACCCAGUGAUAAGUCAUGUAUCCCCAACAUGCACCAAUGUGAUGUCAUGAGAAUGGAAGUUCAUCUCUGUGGUCACCCUCCCCAAAAUGCACAACCUCCGUUUAAUCAUGAGAAAAGCAUCCAGCAAGAGACAAAAUACCUGAAGAGCUUUUGUCAAAAGAAAGUCAUCAAAAAUAAGCAAAGACGGAGACCCUGUCACAAAGCAGAGAAGGCUAAGGAGACAUGACAACUAAACAUAACGUCCUGGAUUGUACCCUGGAACAUAAAAGACAUAGGAAAAAACUAGUGAACUCUGAAUAAAAUGUGGAGAGCUCCGCAGACUUUUGGCUAAGAUCAAAUGGGAAUAAAAUGAGUUCAGUUAAAAGUAAUGUACCAGUGAUGGCUUCUUAGUGUGACAAACGUACCAUAGUAAUGUAACACAUUAAUAACAGGGAAACUGGGUGUGUGAAGGAUAUAGGGGAACUCUCUGCACUGUCUUUCCAACUUUUCUGUAAAUAAAAAACUAUUAUAACACAAAAA